rnacentral:rRNA from 1 species
AACGAACGCUGGCGGCAGGCCUAACACAUGCAAGUCGAGCGAGGACUUCGGUCCUAGCGGCGGACGGGUGAGUAACGCGUGGGAACGUGCCCUUUGCUUCGGAAUAGCCCUGGGAAACUGGGAGUAAUACCGGAUGAGCCCUUUGGGGGAAAGAUUUAUCGGCGAAGGAUCGGCCCGCGUUGGAUUAGGUAGUUGGUGGGGUAAUGGCCUACCAAGCCGACGAUCCAUAGCUGGUUUGAGAGGAUGAUCAGCCACACUGGGACUGAGACACGGCCCAGACUCCUACGGGAAGCAGCAGUGGGGAAUCUUAGACAAUGGGGGAAACCCUGAUCUAGCCAAGCCGCGUGAGCGAUGAAGGCCUUAGGGUUGUAAAGCUCUUUCAGCUGGGAAGAUAAUGACGGUACCAGCAGAAGAAGCCCCGGCUAACUCCGUG